GUACCAUUUAAUAAAUACUUCCUAAAUAGGAGUCCUAUUUUUUUUUUUAAGUGGCAAUUUCCCUUCAUUGCAAAUAAAGCAGGGAUCCUCAACCCGCAGGCCGUGCACCAGUACCAGUUCUCAGCUAGUUAGGAAGCAGGCCGCACAGCAAGAGAGAAUCCUCAGGUUCUAGGAUGGUAACGGAGACAACUCAUCACUAGGAGGUGAACCACAGAUGGUGAAAAGGUUGCCCUGGACCAUCCUCUCCCACUGAUACAGCUCCUCUGAUGAUGAAUAACCCCAAGCUGAGAUAGCUGGUGAUGAUGAGAAUUCUCCGUCAGUACCAAUGGAACUGCUGUUCUGAUCUUCAGGGGAUCAUGCCCUCAUUAGCACCACAUUCUUACCAAAAGAGCUACCACUCUUACACCCCGUCGUCAAAUCUCUACGAAUUUUAUCUAUUUGCUGGCCCAAGGAAAGAUGCAGAAACUGCUUGAAAAGAUUACUAUAAAUAGCCUAAUCACUGUAUCAACAAACAUGCUGAAUAAAAACUCUCAAAAAAUAAUUGUCCAUUUGCUUAGUAAUUAGUUACACCCUAGCAUUCCUUCAAAGGGAAGCAUGCCACAUGCACGGUGAUUUGUAUCUCUGUUAGCCACAUAAGCUCUGGAACAACAGGAAAUACAGAGGUAAAGGAACAGAAGUCCACUAAAACUGCUGCUUUGAAGACAGGGAUAUUUAUGCCAAGCUUUGUUGUUCUGAGGUUACUGAGUGACUCCUCUUUCGUCACCACUGAAGCUCUUAAGAGCUCUGAGCAGAAACGUUCAACCUACCUGGAUAUAUUGGAUUCCCUGGUCUACAGAAUAUAUAAUUCUAACAUCCUUGCCACUGUGUACACACACACACGCAGACAUUGUUUACUUGUUGGUAAUCACCACAAUCAAAACUGUGAAAAACUCUCACUGUGUUCGGCCAACACAAUUUUGAAACUUAGUCCUUGAGACACAGAUGGA
ensembl:lncRNA